rnacentral:rRNA from 1 species
UGCAAGUCGUGGGGUAGCGCAGUGUAGCAAUACAUGGGCGACGACCGGCAAACGGGUGCGUAACACGUACGCAACUUACCCACUACUGGUGAAUAGCCCAGGGAAACUUGGAUUAAUACACCAUAUUAUAUAGGAUUGGCAUCAAUUUUAUAUCAAAGCUUCGGCGGUAGUGGAUGGGCGUGCGGUUGAUUAGAUAGUUGGCGGGGUAACGGCCCACCAAGUCUACGAUCAAUAGCUGAUGUGAGAGCAUGAUCAGCCACACGGGCACUGAGACACGGGCCCGACUCCUACGGGAGGCAGCAGUAAGGAAUAUUGGGCAAUGGACGCAAGUCUGACCCAGCCAUGCCGCGUGAAGGAUGACGGUCCUCUGGAUUGUAAACUUCUUUUAUCUGGGACGAAAACCACCUUUUCUAGGGUGCUUGACAGUACCAGGUGAAUAAGCACCGGCUAACUCCGUGCCAGCAGCCGCGGUAAUACGGAGGGUGCAAGCGUUAUCCGGAUUCACUGGGUUUAAAGGGUGCGUAGGCGGGCAGGUAAGUCAGUGGUGAAAUCUUCGAGCUUAACUCGGAAACUGCCGUUGAUACUAUCUGUCUUGAAUAUAGGGGAGGUAAGCGGAAUAUGUCAUGUAGCGGUGAAAUGCUUA